AGUGCUGUGGGUCUGGGGCUUGUGAAGGGAAGCCGAGAUGGGGGAGGGCUGGGGGAGGGCAGGGGCCCGGCCCCCAGGGCCAGCGACGGUCUCCUGAUCCAGACCCCCGGCCUGGUGUGGGCCCCGCGGGUCCGGGGUGCAGGUGGGGGGCACAGGGUUACCCACCCUGGGCACUUGGGGCUCCUCCUGGGCCCCAACCGAGCAGCCUCGGUGGCUGCCUUUCCCAAGCCACCAGGCCUGAAAGCUAGAGGCCCAGGGCGAAUAAAAGAGUCUGGGCAAAAGGCUCCAAGGCAGUUCAAAGAAGAGCGAGACUGGGGAUGGAGUUUUCAAGCCACAUCCAAGGGGAGGGCUUUUCAUCUGCCAGCCUUUGAAUGGGGAAUCAAGGCGGGCAAAGUUACUACCAGGUUAAAGUUUAAAUGGCACAGAAAGGGGAGCCGGGAAGAUGAAAGGGCGGCCGUCUGGCCAGGGGAACAAAGCCGGAGCCCGGCCCGGGCACCUGGCCGCAGAGGCCGGGCGAGGAGAGGCCGCGCCGCCAACGCCAUUGUUCGCUUAAGAAGCCGAGUAAUUGAAAGGAAAGAGACGGGUUCCCUGGUCACCUCCUGGUUGCUUCUGCGGGCUCCCCAGCUACCCACUGUGAUUUCUGCCGUCUGAAGGACAAGAACAGGUGAGUUAGCAUCCUGCCCCAGGGGGCGCGCUGCACCUUAUGCCCACACCUUUCCAGAUGGACCUUCGGGGCUCCCACUGUCUGGCUGCAGGCAGAAGGACAUCCUCGAUCACACCGUUCCAGUCUUCUGGAACUAAAACAUGUCCGAGAUUGGCAACAUUAAUCAAGGAGAUACCUAUUACGUGCCAGGUAAAGUCUCAUGAGCAAGACCUAGAUCCUUGUGUUUAGAAACCUGUAGUCUAGGGGAAUCCCUCGGUGGCUCAGCGGUUUAGUGCCUGCCUUUGGCCCCGGGUGUGAUCCUGGAGUCCUGGGGUCAAGUCCCGCAUCGGGCUCCCUGCAUGGAGCCUGCUUCUCCCUCUGCCUGUGUUUCUACCUCUCUCUCUCUCUGUUUCUCAUAAAUAAAUAAAAAUCUAAAAAACA
rnacentral:lncRNA from 12 species